rnacentral:rRNA from 1 species
CAGCAGCCACGGUAGUACGUAGGUGGCAAGCGUUGUCCGGAAUUAUUGGGCGUAAAGGGCUCGCAGGCGGUUUCUUAAGUCUGAUGUGAAAGCCCCCGGCUCAACCGGGGAGGGUCAUUGGAAACUGGGAAACUUGAGUGCAGAAGAGGAGAGUGGAAUUCCACGUGUAGCGGUGAAAUGCGUAGAGAUGUGGAGGAACACCAGUGGCGAAGGCGACUCUCUGGUCUGUAACUGACGCUGAGGAGCGAAAGCGUGGGGAGCGAACAGGAUUAGAUACCCCCGUAGUCCCUGUCUCUUAUAA